UAGGGAAUAUUAGUAAUGGGCGAAAGCCUGAACUAGCAACACCGCGUGUGCGUAGAAGGCCUUCGGGUUGUAAAGCACUUUUUGAGAGGAUGAGGAAGGACGGUACUCUCAGAAUAAGUCUCGGCUAACUACGUGCCAGCAGCCGCGGUAACACGUAGGAGGCAAACGUUAUCCGGAUUUAUUGGGCGUAAAGCGCGUGUAGGUGGUUUGGUAAGUAGAGCGUGAAAGCUCCUGGCUCAACUGGGAGAGGUCGUUCUAAACUGCCGGACUAGAGGAUGGUAGAGGGAGGUGGAAUACAGGGUGCAGCGGUGGAAUGCGCAGAGAUCCGGAGGAACACCAGUGGCGAAAGCGGCCUCCUGGACCAAUCCUGACACUCAGACGCGAAAGCUAGGGUAGCAAACG
rnacentral:rRNA from 1 species